UGGGGAAUUUUGCACAAUGGGGGAAACCCUGAUGCAGCGACGCCGCGUGAUUUAGAAGGCCUUCGGGUUGUAAAAAUCUUUUUUAUGGGAUGAAAAUGACAGUACCAUAAGAAUAAGGUCCGGCUAAAUAAGUGCCAGCAGCCGCGGUAAUACGUAUGGACCGAGCGUUGUCCGGAAUCAUUGGGCGUAAAGGGUACGUAGGCGGCCCAGUAAGUUAGAAGUGAAAUAAUAUAGCUCAACUAUAGUAAGCUUUUAAAACUGCUCAUCUUGAGGUAUGGAAGGGAAAGUGGAAUUCCUAGUGUAGCGGUGAAAUGCGCAGAUAUUAGGAGGAAUACCGGUGGCGAAGGCGACUUUCUGGCCAUAUACUGACGCUGAGGUACGAAAGCGUGGGUAGCAAACAGG
rnacentral:rRNA from 1 species